CGUCAUUGGUGGGCGGUGGAUCUUGGAGCAAUUUAUGCUAUUAGUAAUGUUGUUAUUUUUGGUAGAACAGACUGUUGUUCUGAGAGACUCUCAAAUUUCAACAUUGACGUCAUAAGGCCAUGCAAAAACUCAACUCAUUGGUUUGAAGGAGUAACAUCACUAUGUCAUCACAGACAGGAGGCUACUAUCUAUCUAAAUGCAACCUGUUCUCAUGAGACAAUCGGAAGGUAUGUUCGCAUACAGCUGAAAGACCCGAAUGCUUUAGCCUUAUGUGAAGUUGAGGUACAUGGAGUAUUUAUGCAGGAUUUAAAUUCAGUGACCUUGCCUUAUACAUGUGGAUUUGAAGGUCACAGUUAUGAUGUA